AGUGUGGGUAUGUACCUGCCGCCCACUUCCUGGGUUUCUUAGGAUCCAUUACUGUGAAUGCUGCUGCAUGACAUAGGUGGGCACAGCCAAAUGACAGAAGAUAAGAACCUAUUGUUCUAAAUCCAGCCACUGAAGGGGAAGAGGACAACCUGAAAUCCAUUUGCUCUGAUCAGAUUUCAUGAAAGGAGAUGAAAUAUGUUUCUCUCCCACCCUACUAGAAAACAAGGUGUGACUUCUGUAACAGGACAAAGCAAAUCCUAUCAGCACAAGGAAUUUAGUGGUGUACACCGCCUGCUCAAAGUACAGAAUUAAAAAUGCUGAAGAAGAACUUGAUCUGAAGGAGAAGCUUGAUCUGAUUCACUUUUCACUGCUAUCACCCUCAUCUUCCAGGAAGAAUUCGAAAUGUUCAGUUUACUGGAAUUAAGCUAAAGAAAAUGAGCUAGUCUCACUAGUAAUACAUUCACUAGUAAACCAAACCAUGAGGCCUUCCUAUAGCUGAUCCAGCUGCAAUGUUGAUUAAUUUGAAAGAAAUCUAUAA